CUCCCUUCCUGCUCCCCACACAGUGUCUAACAUGGCACUUGGCUCCCAUGGUCUGGGUGACAGACUGGCCCCUAGGAUGCCAGCCUUAAGAGACCAUUCUUGGUUUGCCCAGAAUUGACACACUGAUGAGCCCAGCAGGCCCCCGAAUUCACGCCAGACCUUUCCACUGUUGGUCUGGAUUUCUGGACUUCUAGUGCUUGCUUAUCCAUGCCAGCCGUUGGGGAGCCAAGGACUUCUUGGGUAAGAUACCACAUGCAUGAAUAAUAUGACAACCGUCUGAGUUGGCAGCAAGGGGUGGCAGAACUUUCCUAGGGAUAAGGCCAAGGCUGGCAGUUUUCCUGCCUCCAUUCAGUUCUUGGAGGCCCAGCAAAUUCACGUGGCCACGUCUGGGGCUCUAGGACUCACUGGUGGGAAGAUUUGGACACAGCUGGGAUAAUGUUCUCCUCUGCAGCCACUGGGCAACCUAUACAGUUCAGAUGUCCUUAGGUCUCCCUCCGGAAGGACUGAUGAAUGCCUGCUGUCUCCCACGCUUGCCAUUCAGCUGCCCCAUACCAUGCACAAGAACAAGCGGCAAGUAUGAGUGCAUCUCUUCGAUUCCCUCACCUCCUGAAUGGGGAUCAUGGUAAUAACAAAUAAUGCUCAAGACAGUUUUGAGAAUCAAAUGAGGUGGAGAGGUCACGUACAGAGGCUGAACUGUCAGAGCUGCUAUCACCCAGGCACCGUUCUCACAACGGUCAUACACUGUUUCCUACAGAGCUAACAACACCUUGACACAGGCUGUGUUAUGCACAUUUUACAGGAGAAACAUAGAAAAUCAUCCAAGGAACAUAACCGGAAGCCAUGCUAGAAGAAUAAAGAGAGCUUCAAGAGUAGCCAGUAGGGGUGGGAAGACUUGAAGAGUCCAAGACAAACUGUGAAUGGCCUUGAUUUCCAAUGGUCCUCACAGAGUGCUGACAGAUGUCUGACAGGAGAGCGAGAUUGGAGAAGCUGCCAGCUGGGGCCAGGAGCCAACCUCCUUUUCUGAGGAAAUCUCCAUAGAUGGUGGUGGAUCAGAUGCAACUGCAUGCAAACCCUGGGCUCUUUCUUCCCUCUGCUUUACCCUUAUUUGUCCGGCUCACAUCUCCUUCCAUCUCCUACCUGAUCAUUCUCUUUUGCUUAUGCUUCUUAAAUGAGCCCUUUAUGUGCCUUUGCUUGGGUUAAUUUCCUCUUGUACUCUUUGGACCAUUAUUUCUCCUCUUGGCCAGGAGGAUACACAAGAAACUGAGGGCAUGGCUGAGGCAACAUGACUUGAUAUAAACCUCAUGCUUUUGAGAGUUUAAUUUUUCCUCCCAUAGUGUAAUUUCUCUCAAUUUAGUUUCUUUUUUAAAAAAAAAAUUAUAAACAAAUAUAAAAUGCAAGUUCCAUAGAGUGGAAAUUAAGAGAGAUAUAAAAGAUAAAAGUAUUAAAAUCAUCUAGAGAGGGGCGCCUGGGUGGCUCAGUCGGUUAAGCGGCUGACUCUUGAUUUUAGCUCAGGUCAUGGUCUCGGGGUCGUGAGACAGAGCCCCGAGUCAGGCUCUGAGCUCAGUGGGGAGGUCUGCUUGAGGAUUCUCUCCCCCCGCCCCUCUCUAACCUUCUCCCCACUCGUGCUCUCUCUC